GUGGGAGGAAGCUCUCUACUGUGCUGACAGUAAUAGGUUGCAGCAUCAUCAGCCUCCACAGGAUUGAUGGUGAGGGUGAAGUCUGUCCCAGACCCACUGCCACUGAACCUGGCAGGGACCCCAGAUGCUAGGUUGGAUGCACGAUAGAUGAGGAGUUUGGGUGGCUGUCCUGGUUUCUGUUGAUACCAGUGCAUAUAACUAUAUCCAGAUGCACUGACACUUUGGCUGGC